GGUGGGUAUAGCUCAGUGGUAGAGUGCAUGCUUAGCAUGCAUGAGGUCCUGGGUUCAAUCCUCAGUACCUCCA
rnacentral:tRNA from 1 species